rfam:Macleaya cordata isolate BLH2017 scaffold8711, whole genome shotgun sequence.
AAACCAUGGUGUGGGCAUUUUAAGAUAAAAUCCUUAAAUCUCUCCCAACAUGUGAAAAACUGUUCACCAUCGUUUUGAAAAAAUUGCAUUAUGAGUCG